rnacentral:rRNA from 1 species
UUAUUCGCACCCCUGGUCGUCCUCAUAACCGCAUCAGGUCUCCAAGGUUAGCAGCCUCUAGUCGAUAGAACAAUGUAGAUAAGGGAAGUCGGCAAAAUAGAUCUGUAACUUAGGGAAAAAGAUUGGCUCUGAGGGUUGGGCCUAGGGGUCUCUGGGACAAUGUUGCGACUGCUAGGAGGGACUGCGGCUCACGCUGCGGACCCACCGGGCGGUUCUUCGGCGGCCCAGAGGAUGCUUGCCUCGUGCAUGCUUUCCCUAGCGCGAUGAACAACCGGCUCAGAACUGGAGCGGACAAGGGAAAUCCGACUGUUUAAUUAAAACAAAGCAUUGUGAAGGCGGGGGACCGUGUUGACACAAUGUGAUUUCUGCCCAGUGCUCUGAAUGUCAAA